AGGUGGUUAAGGGUUUGGGGCCGGGGACCAACUGAGAGUGCUGACGUCCUCAAGGGGAGGGGACAUGUGGACAGCCAGAAGUGGUGAACAUAAGGAAGUGCUCCGGUGGACAAGGGCUUUGGGAUCGAGCACCGCCUGGAAGUGCUGACGUCAUCAAGGCGGAGGGGACACGUGGAAAGCUCCAAGUGCUAAGAUACUGGUCUUGCAGAACCGGUUACAGAGGCCAUUGGACUGUGGACAGUGC